CCAUUUCCGUUUACCUAGAUGCCAUAUUUUUAACACUGGGAGCUGAUUUUUUUCUGUAAUCAGAUAUAUCAGAUAUUUCCCAUCGAAAUACCAUUAAAGCCAAAGCACAGUUUAAAAGAUAUCGGUUUGCCACGUAAAAGUACAUAACCCACGCAGUAUAUGAUUCAUAUGACUUGAGUGUUUGUGACUCAUUCCCCAAGGUCCCUUGUCACUGACUUUGCCAUUGAUCAUAAGUUUCACUCCUACUAACACUAAUUGAAACAGUAGACAACAUAAAUGCACAGUUUGGUUGCUGAGAAAAUGAGGGAAAAAAAAUAAAAAAUCAAAGAUCAUAAAUUCUGAUUUCUUUUUGUUUUGUUAUCCCACUGUUUCUCAGUCGGCAAAGGAAGAAUGAGAAUACCUUUCUCCACUUCCUUCUCCUUUUGAAUUUCUCCGGCUCCUUGAAUGUAACCCAUUUCACAACUCUUCAAAAGGCACAAGCUUUUCUUCUACUUCCGAGUCUCACAAUGGACCUCUCUUUCGGUAGUUACAGGGUUAUUUAGAGUGGUGACCCGUGAUGAUGGUGAAAUUGGCCUACCUCUUAGUAUCGGACACAUUUCCAUCUUUUUUAUUUUCCUCCAAAAAAUACAAAUCCCUGAAAUUUCUAUCUCACCGGUCGCCGUGACCCACCUCUUAAUCACAAACAUGUCUGCACACUUUUACCCGCAUUUAUUUUCCUCCAAAAAAAAACAUAUCCCUCAAAAUAUCUAUCUCACGUAAUCUUGACUCAUCUCUUAAUCCCAUAACCUUAUUUGCACAUUUCUACCCUUCAUUUAUUUUCCGACGAAAAAGAUAGUUCCUUUGAAAUAACUAUCUCACAGGUAGUCCUAACCCACCUCUUCAUCAUAGACAUGACAUUACUUACACAUUUUUACCCUCAUUUAUUUUCCUCCAAAAAAGAUAGAUCCUUUAAAAUAACUAUCUCAUAUUGGUCCUGACCCACCUCUUCAUCACAUACAUGACCUUACUUACACAUUUCUACCUUUAUUUAUUUUCCUCCAAAAAAAAUAGAUCAUUUGAAAUAACUAUUUCAUAGGUAGUCCUGACCCACCUCUUCAUCACAGACAUGACCUUACUUGCAUAUUUUUACCCUCAUUUAUUUUCUUCCAAAAAAGAUAAAUCCUUUUAAAUAACUAUCUCACAGGUGGUCCUGGCCCACAUUUUCAUCGCAGGCAUGACCUUACUUGCACAUUUCUACCCUCAUUUAUUUUCCUCCAAAAAAGAUAGAUCCUUUGAAAUUUUCACAAGUAGUCCUAGCCCACCUCUUCAUUACAAACAUGACCUUACUUGCACAUUUUUACCCUAAUUUAUUUUCCUCCAAAAAAGAUAGAUCCUUUGAAAUAACUAUCUCACAGGUGGUCCUAACCCACCUUUUCAUCACAGACAUGACCUUACUUGCACAUUUCUACCCUCAUUUAUUUUCCUCCAAAAAAGAUAGAUUAUUUGAAAUAACUAUCUCACAGGUGGUCAUGGCCCACCUUUUCAUCAAAGACAUGACCUUACUUACAUAUUUCUACCCUCAUUUAUUUUCCUCCAAAAAAUAUAAAUCCUUUGAAAUAACUAUCUCACAGGUAGUCCUGACCCACAUCUUCAUCACAAAUAUGACCUUACUUGCACAUUUUUACCCUCAUUUAUUUUCCUCCAAAAAAGAUAAAUCCUUUGAAAUAACUAUCUCACAGGUGGUCUUGGCCCACCUUUUCAUCACAGACAUGGUAGACAUGACCUUACUUGCACAUUUCUACCCUCAUUUAUUUUAUUCUGAAAAAGACAAAUCCCUUGAUCUAUCUCAUCGGUAAUCCUCACCCACAUCUUAAUCGUAGACAUGAUCUUAUUUCUACAUUUCUACCCUCAUUUAUUUUCUCUAAAAAAGACAGAUCCCUCAAAAUAUCAAUCUCACUAGUAGUCCUAGUCCACCUCUUAAUCGCAAACAUGACCUUGUUUACACAUUUCUAUACUCAUUUAUUUUCCUCUAAAAAAGACAAAUCCCUCAAAAUAUCUAUCUCACCAAUAGUCCUAAAUCUCUCAAUCCAUCAUAAAAAUAAGCUAAGAGAAGAGAGAUUUAUUUUUACAAUUUCAAGUGAAAUUGUUUUUAUUUUAGAUGUUUAUUUGGAUUAAAUUUAAUUUAUUACAAAUUUAAUAAAUAUUAAUUUUAUGUUGGCUUGAACCGCAUAGGAAUUAAGUUUGAUUUACAAAAAGCUUAACUAGGAUUAAGUUAUCAAUUAUAAUGGUAACCAAAAUUAUACAAUGGUUUCAUUUACGAAUAAUUUAAUUAAGGUUAUAUUUUCAAUUUCAUGUACAAAGAAUUUGGUUACAAUGAAAUUUUUGUUUUUAUCUAAAAAAAAAAAACUUAUUAAAUUGUUCAUAUAGAUUUAAAAGUUUGAACUUAAAUAUUAGAUAAUAAGAAUUCAAUAUUUCAUCUUCACAUUUUAAAAGUUUAAAUGAAAAAAAAAACUAAUAAAAAAACCCAAUAAAAGACAAUCAUUAAAAAAAAAAAAAAAAAAAACCCUCAACGAAGAUCCCAGUAGAAAACAACUUAAAAAAUAACAAAAAAUUUCCAUUUUCCCACUUUUCCUUUUAGGGAGUUAGGCUCAUUGUCCAGCAGUGCCUUGGGUUUGGCCCAAUUUAUGGGCCCAAAUGUAUGUUUGUGGUGGUUGCAUUAUCUCUAGACAAGGCUUGGGCUAAGACCAACCAUGUCCAAAUUUUGCUUGAACUAUGAUGCAUUAUCCCUAUAAUUAGAAAAAUAAUCUGCACUUUCUAAAAAUUAUAAAUAUAACCUCAAAUUCACAUUUUUAUCCAUAUAAAUUUUUCUAAAACACUGCGUGGACGUGUGAAGUAGGGAUAAAAAAUUGGCAAAGGUAUUUUUUUCUAAAACGAAUUAAGUCAUGUUUCUUAAGAAUCAAGAUUAUUUUUUAGGAUACAUGAUUGUUUUAUCCUAUUCAAUGAAAUAGCCCAUAAAAAACAAAAUAAAAUAAAAAUAAAAAUUCUUGGGGGCAUUGUACACACAAAUUUCGUGAAAUCCUACGAUGUAAAUAGAAAAUUAUACAAAACAAAAAUUUAUUAAAAUUAAUAAUUAUAUGAUACAAUCUCUGUAUUAAUAUUCUUUAUAAAAGAAUGUUUUCCCUUCAAUUCUUUCGCUUUGAUCACAUCCAACAAAUGACAAUAAAGAUAUUUUCUUUGUUUUGAAAGUCAAUUAAGGACGUAGAGUGAUUUAUUCUUGAAUAACUUUGUCGAAAAGCGAAAAAAACAUGUGUAGUUUUUCUGUGAUUUCUCAAACUUCUAAGGAGAUUUUGUGAAACUUUUUCUUUUUUGUGAAGCCUUUUUUCUCGUAUGGAAUCUGUUAAAAAUUUGAGGUUAAUCCAAACUAUGGUAAUCACCUUAGAAGGGGGGGAGAGGGGUGCAAAAAUAAGAGACAAUUAUAUGCAAGUAUAUAAUAAACAAAAUAAAGACAAUUGCAUAUAAUUUAAAAGAGUUAGGGAAGAGAGAGUGCAAACACGAGAGUUUAUAGUGGUUCGACACUUUUUUGCCUACGUCCACUCUCCUCAACCUCCUAACCGAGUGAGGGUUCCACUAUCUUGAAGUUUCAACCAAGCUUCCAAUCUCUUUACAAUUGGAUUAUGGUUCCAAUUCACCCUCUUGGACUUUUGGCUCCAAGCACCCUUUACACUUCUUUAAGAGAUAUCCUUCUCUUGAACAACCUCUCAAGUGAUACCCCUCACUUGAGAAAAUUCCUCACAAAGAUAUACAAAUAAUGAUCUCACAAAAAUCCUAGUAAUAGAACUUUAGGCUCAAAGAUACAAGAAAAACUAGGAUUGAAUGGUGCACUAUAGAUAUGCAAGUUAUGAAACAAUGGUGCACUAAAAAACACUCUUCCAAGGCUCAAAUAUAAUCAAUAAUGAUUUGGGAAGGUUAAGCUUGUAAAACAAUAAAGAUUGAAGCAUUUUAAUAGAAGAAAAAUACCAAACUAACUGUUGGGGGUUCGACCGGUUGACUAACCGUUAGGAAAAGUGACUGUUGGGCCUCAACCGGUUGAGGUUCAACCUUGAUCUAGAAGAGAAGGCCACUGGGAGAGAGAGAAACUUAUUGGCCUCCCUUAACCGGUCCUAAACCGGACUAGCACAACCGGUCGACCGGUUGAACUGGUUGAGCCAUUUUUUUUGCUCAACACUCAACCUUUUUCAACUUAAAACCUUUUAACACAAGUUUGAAAAUCAUUUAACACAAGGUUUUAGUUGAAAACAUGAAAUCAUCCAAUUCUUAAGAUAUUUAAACAAUAUUCCUCUUGGAUGAUUUUGGUGCAUAAAUAAAAAAUGAAAUGCAUGAAAGUCUUAGUGCACCAACAACCUUACAAAGAGAUCUUAAGAAGCUUUGGUCUUGAAAAACUCUUCUCUUUGAGGUGGUCUUCUUCUUCAUGAUUUCUCCUUAACUUGAUUUGUCUUUGGAUUGCCACUUUGGAAGUCGUCUUACCUAAUCACACUUGAAAUAUGAUCAUUAGUUCUAAAUCUUGUUUUGUUAUCAUCAAAAUCAAAAUUAACCAAACCUUGGUUUCACAGAAUCGUUUUUUGUCGAUUCAAAUAAGUCCCCUUAUUGAAAGAAGUUUCCUCUAUUUAUUGGUGAAAUUAGGAAAUUAAAUUUGGAAUCCCUUAAAAUUUAGUUGUUUAAUUCAAAGAAUUUGAUUUUUUUUUAUUUUAGCAACUUAUCUUCUUUAUUAAGGAAAUUUGUCAACAAGAAAAUAUUUAUUAUUGUUUUUAGUUCUUUUUUUUUUACUUCAAUUGGAAGAUUUGAUUUUAUUUGUAAGACCAAAUUUGGUAACUUUCAAAAGUUUACCAUGUGCCAUCUUUUGAAUAUAUAUCACGUGUCAAAUGUGUGUAUGACUCAUCACUUGUCGAGAUCAAAUUUUAUUGAAUUGAGAACACUAUUUUAUUUUUUAUUUUCCAUUUGGUAUCAAAAGAGGAUCUUAUGUUAACAUGAAAGUUUCUAAUUUAAAUAUUCACUUUCCUUUUCUUUUUUUCUUUUUUUUUUCUUUUUUUUUUGUAGGCAUUUUCCUUAAAAUUUAUCCUCUCUAUUUUUCUAUAUAAAAAGGACAAAAAUUUGAUAAACCCAACUUGAACUUUCCAUGAGAAGUCUUUAACCCUCAGUGGAUUUCUAAGCUUGUAAGUCUUUUUUUUUUUAGCUUUAUGUUAUAUAUAUAUAGAUAUAUAUACACAAACAUACACACACGUGAUUGUUUUUUUUAUAACCUUUUUUUAAAACACUUGUUGACUUUCAUCGUUUGUAGAGACAAAUUUGCUUUUAGGUAAUCACAUUAACACUUGAGGAAGAAUUUUUAAUGAACUUAAAUAUUAAAAAAAGAAAAAUGAAUAUUUAAAGUUUAACCCUCAUGUAAUCAAGGUGUAAUCCUAAUGUAAAGUGGUAUCAUAUUUUCAGCACUUAUGUGCUAAAAUCUUCACUCAUAUGAAUUGGUUUGACUUGAAAUGCAUAAUAGUGUCCAAGUUUUAACAUUUAAUUAAAACUAAAAUUAUAUUUAACACUUAUGCAAACAAGAUGCCGUGCAAUGUUGUACUUUUGACACUUAAUGCGACUUAAGUGCUAAGAUCCUCACUCAUAUGAAUUAGCCUGACUUGAAUGCAUAGUGGUGUUCAAAUUUUAAUAGUUAAUUAAAGUUAAAAUUAUAUUUAACACUUAUGCAAACAAGUCAUGACUUUGACGUUAUGCAAUGUUAUACUUUCAACACUUAAUGCGAUAUAUAUGUUAAGGUCGUCACUCAUGUGAAUUGACCUAAUUUAGGUGUAUAAUGGAAUUCAAACUUUUAACAAUUAAUUACACUUAACAACUAUGUAGACAAGUCAAAACCUUGACACUACACGGUGUUGUACUUUCGACAUUUGAUGCAGUUUAAGUGUUAAGAUCUUCACUCAUGUGAAUUGGCUUGACUUGGGUACAUAGUAAUAUUCAAACUUUAAUAUUUAAUUAAAAUUUUAACCACACUUAACAUCUAUAUAAACAAAUCAUAACCUUGACACUGCACAAUGUACAACUUUUAGCACUUAAUUAAAAUUAGACCCCACUUAAUACACAUUUUAUUUUCUUUUGUGUCGUAUAUAGUUUAAGCUCAUUUGGGCUAAGAGUUUCAUGCAGUUUAGGCUUGUGCAUUCAGAAGCAUCACUUGUCUUGAUUUGGAUCCAAAGGCGAUGAAUACAUGCUUUUUGAAAGAAAGUUUAACUGAGGGUAAAAAAUGACUUAUUCUCAACCAAACUUAUAAAGAUUUUUCUAAAGUAUUUUGAAGAAUAAAAAGUUUUUUGAAUUCAUCUUGAUUUUCAACCUUUAAAGGUGGAUGAAUGACACUUUUGUAUUGUGUUUGAUAUUCUUCCAUAAGCUCAUUAAAGAAUGUGUCAAGCUUAAACUUGAUUUUAAUCUAAGGGUGGUAAACACGUGUUCUGGAGUAAAAUUUAAUUAUGGGUCAAUGAUGACUUGAUUUCAAGUAAACUUAUCAAUAAUUUCCCCAAGUAUUUUGAAGAACCUAACUUUGUUUUCUUUGGCUUUAAAGGUAGGUGAAUUAACACUUUUCUAUUGUAUUUGAUAUUCUUCCAUGAGUUUAUUGAAUAAUGUUUGGAGUUUGACCUUGUCUUUUGAAGCUUCAUUUUUUGGAUUUAGUUUCUGAAAUGCAUCUUCCUUUUGAAAAUGCCUCAUUUUGAAGAAAAAUACUUACAUUUAGAGAAGUUGGAGAUUUUAAUUUAGAUAUCUAAAUUUGACUUUUAUUUAAUGCAAAGAGUUUGUUCCUAAAUUUAAAAAGUUUGUUAAGAAGAUUUUUUUUCUUCAUUUGACAUAAGUUUGAUUUAUUGAUUUUUUUUAUUUUUUUAUUUUUUGGUACUAUAGUUUAAGCUCUUGUAAGCUAGGAGCAAUGUGUAGUUUAGGCUCAUUCUUUAAGGAACAACAAUGGAGUAUCGAGGUUUGAAAACAAUUGUAGUAUAAUUUGAUGUCACGCUCUUUUUGUCUUCAUAGAUGAUGUUUUUUCCUCUAGUAAUAUCAUUUUCAAGUUCUUUGAUAAACAUGUUUUCACUUGCAUUUGUUUUUAUAAGAAGCUCUAUGUCAUGUGCUUGUGUAACCAACUCUUUCAAGGUGCGGGGUCAUGUCCCUCAAAGAAUGUAUAUAAGACCCCAAUGCAUGCCUUGUAUGCAUAUCUCCACAAUCAACACCUCCGAUAAUCUAUCCUUAUUGUCAAGGAUUAAGGAACGCCAAGGAUUGAUGUAAUCAAUAACUGACUCAUUUUUCCAUUGUUUGGUAUUGGUAAGUUCCAUCAUACUUAUUGUUCAUCGGGUGCUAUAGAAACGGUUAAGGAAUUCGCACUCCAUUUGGUCCCGACUGUCAAUGCACUCAGGUGCAAGAUCGGUGUACCAAUCAAAGGCUUCCCUAAGAGGGAUUCAACAAAUUGGUUGACCAAGAGGUCAUCCUCUAUAUCUUCAUUGUUCAAGUUACAAUGAAAUAGGCAACAUGUUGCUUUAAAUUUCCUUUUCCAUUGAAUGAUUAGAACUUUGGAGGUUGAUAACUCAUUGGCAUAUGUAGGUCAUCCAUCCUCUUGGUGUAAGGCUUAAAAUACAUGAGCGUACUGUUAGGACACCAAGUCUUGUUUAUAUGUUGGCAAUUUUGUUCAUUUUUAUGUUUGGCCCUAGAAAUCCUUUUUAAAUAGCGAAUUGCUUUCCAUUGAAGAUCAAGGAUUGUUGUUCGUCCAACCAGGAAGUCACAGGUACAUCUAAAAAUGUUUGACUUGUGGCAUAUAAAGCUUUUUUAAGGUAUAAAAGAUUUGGUAUCUUUUUUGUACAUAAAAUGUUUUAAAAUGAUUUUUCAAAAUAAAUAAGGGUCGCUCAAGUGGUUAAUUUUACUCAAGCUGUCAGUUUGCUCAAGCGGUAAGGACCACUCCAAUGGAACACUCAAGCAAUCUAAGUUCGUUCAAGCAAUCAUGACAAUCUUGCUGAGAUUAAAAACAAAUUUUGGAUGAAUUUCACUCAAACUCUAUUUUUGAAACUUAAGAUACUGAAACUCUUUAGGUUUUUGCCUAUAAUUACUUCCUUAUUAACCCAUUGAGGGUUAGAGAUCGAAAAUCAUAGAGAUUUUUGGGAGAUUGGAGAUAUAUCAUUUAAGAGACCUCUCAUUCUUAAGAAAUGGACUCUUUGAGAGAAAGCCUAAUUGUCACACCAUUCCCGAUCUCCCAUUCAAGGAUUUGAAUCUUUGAAUCAUGGGUUGAAGACCUUAAUCUCUUUGGAGUGGUCGAAGGAUCUCUUAGGGAGCAAUAGGGAAUUGCUGAAUCGUAGACAUGGAUUAAGUUGUAAGUGUUGGAGAGUAAGUCUUUAAGGUAAAAUGGUCAGGUAAAUCUGUAUAACUUGAUUUCGAAUAGUGGAUUUAGAUUGGUAGGUCUUAGACCUCAUGGUUUUUCAUCUCCAUAGUUUGUUGGGGUUUUCCAUGUAAAAAUCUUGUGCGUCAUUGCAUAUCUUUUUAUUAUUGCUUAUAUUCUAAUUGAUGAUAUUGAUAAUCUUAUGAUUGAUUGGUUAGUUGGUUAUUGAGGUUGUUGGGUUGGUUAUACCUAUAACCAAUUAUUGUUUUCCUAACUCCUCUUAGAAUAUAUUUUGUUUGAUUUGUUGAGAUUGUUAUUGAGUUUGUUAGGAUAGUUAUUCUAGUGAUUAUUAUUAUCUCUAACAUAUCUCAAUAUAUAUUUCAAAUAUUAUAGUUAUAUUAUUUUAUCCUUAACAAAUCACAAUGUAUCUAUUAAACAUAAAAUUAAAGCUUUUAUCAAUAAGAUUUGGGGUAAACUCUUUUUUUGUAUUACCUGAAUAUCCCUGUAAUAUCUUGGGAUAUGAAAAAUUGAAUAUAACAUAUAAAUAUUUAUUUAAAUUUAUAAAUCACUCAUUCACACCCCCCCUCUGUGUAUUCCUUAUUGGACUUUUGGUAGUUUUUCAAGUGAUUUAAGGGUUUUACCAUUUUUCACAUACUUUGUGAUCCGCCAUACUGCACUCUAAUGGUAUUAGUUAUCAUGUCCUGAAAUAACAAUAUCACCGAGGUAAAUUCAAUGGUUUACCUUCCAAUUUGCACCAACUUAGACACAUGCAAUGUAUCACUUAGAGAUGCAAUCUUUGGAGGAUAAAUAAGUCCUUGACUUAAUUCAAUCGUACUUUGUGCUUGUGUCUCAACCUUGCUUAUGAAGGAUGCUAUUUGUAAAUAUUUCUCCUUGAUGAGCUUGGUGAGUUUGGUGAUGAUACAAGUCAUCUUAGUUUAUUGUUCUUCUACAAAUGUAGUGUACGUUGUCAUUAUCAACAUAGUCACUAUGAAGGAAGAAGUGAAAGAGUUGGAAUGGUUGGAGGAGUUGUCCUCUUUUGACCUAGUUGGUGAUUCAAAGUGUGAGUCAAUACUGGAGUUGGCAUCGACAACAAAGUAAGGGGAUUUAUCCCUAAAGUCCUUUAGUGUUGAAAAAUGUUUUCCCUAACCCUAAGGACUUUGGCCUUUUACACCUAAAGAAGUUAAGGUGAUUAGCAACUGGUAAUUGUUGCAUGUCCCCACCGAUUUUAGCAAAUGAGUGUGCUUACUCGCUAGCUUUGCUGAAGGUGUAGCAGUCAAUUUUGCUUUACUAUGAGUCAUGGGGGCCGUAGAGGUGUUAUGUGUUGGUUGAGUAAUGACUAUCUUGUCAUCACCCUUGUUAAUAUGCAAAACUUAAGUUUUUUUAGAUGUCAUCAUCUUAGUAGUGAUCAUUUUCUUAGUGAAAGAGAUGAGAGGCCAAGAAGUCCCAUCAGGCAUGCUAGAAAUUUGUACGCACAAAUUUCGUAAAGUCCUGCAAUGUAAGAAAAACAAUAGAAAUGCGAAACAAAAAUUUAUUAAAAUUAAUGAUUGUGGGGUACAAUAUCUGUGUUAAUAUUAUUUACAAAAGAAUAUUUUUUUUCUCUUAUUCUUUCGCUUUGAUCAUAAUCUAACCAAUGACGAUAAAGGUGUUUUCUUUGUUUUAAAAGUAAAUUAAGGGCCUAGAUUGACUUUUUCUUGAAUGACUUUGUCAAAAGGCAAAGAACACGUGUAAUUUUUUUGCGAUCAGACUUAUAAGGAAAUUUUGUAAAACCUUUUUUUUUUUUUUUGUGAAGUCAUUUUUUACAAUCCAAAAAAGUCCCCUUAUCAAAAGAAGUCACCCCUAUUUAUAGGUAAAAUUAGGGAAUUAAAUUUGGAAUUCCCUAAGGUUUAGUUACUUAAUUCAAAGAAUUUGGUUUCUUAAUUUUAGUAAAUUAUCUUCUUCAUUAAGGAAAUUUACCACCAAGAGAAUAUUUAUUAUUUAAAAAAAUAUAUAUAUCUUUUGACUUCAAUUGGAAGAUUUGACUUUAUUUGUAAAACCAAAAUUUUGUCACACGUUACCUUUUUGAAUAUGUCAUAGGUCAAAUAUGUGUAUGACUCAUCACUUAUUGAGUCCAAAUUUUGUUGAAUUGAAAAGCCACAAUUUUGAAGAUCAAUUUAAUGAUAAUUUAAUUCACUAAAAAUUUUGAUGUCUACAGGUACAAAAAUGAAGAUAUCAUUUUUUUUAAAUAACAAUUUUAUUUUUUGAAAAUGAAAACCAAAACAUUGAAAGUACUAAAAUGAAGAUUUUUUUUAUAAUAAUCUUAUUUUUGAAAAUAAAAACAACCAAUGUUUUGGUUUAUGAUUUAUUUUUAAUUGUUAAACUACUUAUAUUUUUUGCAUUUACAAAUUUAAUAGUAAUUAUUUAUUUUAUUUUUGAAAAUAUAAGCUAAUUUUCAUUUUUACUACCAUCAAUGUUACAGCUCAAUUUUAAGAAAUACUCGAUGAUCAUAAAAAUUACAAUUUAAACUUAAUGUUGACACCAAACCCAAUAUUUAGAAUAUUUAAUAUGAAAUAUUAUUAAAAAUAAUAAAUUACCUAAAUCAUAUUACACCCGAGACAAUACAACUAAUCAUAGUAAAAUGAAUAAAUAAGGGAAGAUAAAUCAUUGGAUAAAAUCUCCUCAAUAGUACAAGCUCUCAAAUGUCUCAAACCUAGGGUCAUUGACUUCUCAAAUGUCUUAAUUCUCAUUACAACUUUUAAUCUUUCAUACCCUACUAAAUGAAAAUAAUAAAAAUAAUAGUAAUAAUAAUAAUAAUAAUAAUAAUAAUAAUAAUAAUAAUUGAAAGUGAAUCGCAAUGAUGAACUACACUUAGUGAGGGGUGAAUAGUUGUUUUUUGAACAAUUAAAAAUAAAAAAUAAAAUCCCAACACAACUUAUCUAACCUUAGACUUGUUCACAAUUUUCUUUUCUCUUCAAUUAUUUUCCAACACAAAGUAGAGAUCACAUGCAACCAUGAAUGUUGCAAUACUCCCUAAUAUGAUUCAAAUGCAAGUCACAUGCAAAUGCAUCAAUACUCCCCAACAUACUUAAUAAGAUCAGUUUUUCAAUAAUUCAAAUUUCCAUUUCUACAUAAUAUCUCUAUCAAUAAUAAGUAUAGAAAAUUUUCAGAAUAACCCAACAAAAAAACACAUAUAUCAUCCCAUUGUUCUUUUAUUCAACUUAAAACCAUAAACAUUAAAUAAACAAAGUAUGAUUGAAAAUAAAUCAAAGAGAAGAGUGAGAGAGAGUAACCGUGACACCAAAAUUUAUGUGGAAAAUCUCCGAAGAGAUAAAAAACCACACACCUAUAACCGAUCGAAAAUGUCCACUAUGAAGAAUAAACACUAAAUACAAGGUUUUACCUAACUCAAGUCUAUCAAUCAUUCUCGGACCACAUAAUUAGUACCUUUCACUUUCAGCCGCACACCUUCUUCUUCAAGAAUACACUUGGAGUCCACACCAAACUUGAUCUCAACCUCUUCUUAAAUCCCCAUGAGAAGAAAAUGGGUUUUACCUAAACCCAAAUAGAUUAUAAAUUGAAAGAUGAAUAAAUGAAGAAUCAACCUAUUUUUUUAUCCAAAAAAAUCCAUUGAAAAUAGUUUGGAAAACAAUAGGAAAGUUAGAUUUUCUUGGCAACCAAACACCCCAAAUUAGGAAAGGAAAAGAAAACUAAAAGAGGAUGGUUGCUAUGUCUUUAAUAUUCUCUCUACGGAACAAGAAGCAAUUUUAGGGUUUUUUAAAUGAAAGAAGCCCUAGAUCCAACAAUUGAAAUUAAAUCAAGAAAGUGUAGCUUGAAUCAAUCCGACCUAUUCCUAGAUUGAUCUUGGAACAGGGCAUUUUUAACACUUAAUAAAAUAAAAAAAUAAUAAUAAAAAAGAAAGCUUCCCAAGCCUUCUUAACUCCUUAAAAAAAAAUUCAAAUAAAACAACAUUUAAGUAAUAUGAUUGGUUCAAUUCCAUCUAACUCCCUCAACUACAUACCUUGUUAGCAAAUUCAAUGUCUUGAUCUUCAUUAGGUAAGUAGUCCGAAGAAGGAUUUGGAAAAAUCAAGUUACGAGACACUAAACACUCACAAUAAUAAUAAUAAUAAUAAUAAUAAUAAUAACUACAACAAUGUUCGCCUAUAAAAAAAUCUAUUAAAGUUGAAAAAUAAAUUAAUCAUAUUAAUGUGUGUAUAAUUUAGAUAUGUAAAAAACUAUAAUAAAACUAUUAGAUAAUAUGUGAUAUCGCACAUCAAAUAGGAGAGAAAGUUUUUGGCGCUAUAUAAAUAUGAGCUUCUUUUAACCAUAUAAACGCGUUUUAAAGUUAUGAGAGCUCAUUUGGGUCUAGAGCGAACAAUAUUUCAUAACUAGUUAUGGAUCGUUAAAAUGGUAUCAAAAUCAAUUCCUGACUCCCGUGUAGGACAAAAGGAGUGUUUGUCUGUUUGACCUUACAAUCCCAUAGGACAUAACAAAGAAAUACAUUGUAUCUACAUAAAGGGUGUUUGUUAUAUCUCACAUUGAAUAGAGGAGAAAGUUAUUAGGGUUAUGUAUGUAUAGACUCCUCUUAACCUUAUACACGCGUUUUAAAACCGUGAGAGUCUUUUUAGGUUCAUAAUAGAUGAUAUUUAGACGGUUGAGUGUGUAUCGUUAUAUUAUAUUUGAUGAAAAAGAUUAGAGAAGAGAGUGAAAUUUAAAUUUUAUGAAAUAUCAUCACUUUUAAAUUCCUUAAAAUCCUUUCUCACUAAAAGAAAAUAGAAGAAAAUUUGGUUGGUCAUGAAGUAGAUUAGAAAGCAAUCAAAGGUGGCUUUCUGACUUGCUAAAUGUCUUCAAGACUAAACAAAGCAUCUUCUUUUUCCAUAGAAAACAAAGAGUGUCCAGUUCCAACCUAUGAACCCACUCCAUGUUCAAGGGAUUGACACCCAUGUCAACAACCAUCUGUUAGAAAACUUUUGACCCAUGAUUAUGUUUCCUACUGCUUUUAGAAAUAGUUUUUUGUUUUUAAGAAAUAAAAAACACAAAAUUAUAUUUAGUUGUUAAUUGUUUUAAAACAAGAUUUUUGAGAGUUGCUUCAAAUAUUAAAUAUUUUUUGAGAACAUAUUUUAAUUAUUUUUAAUUUUUUUUUUAGUCUAUAAUUAAUUAAUUAAUUUUUUUGAAUUUUAAUUAUUCAAAACAUUAAUUAUGUCUCAAUUAAAAAUCUAUUUACUUAAUGAGAAAAUUUUAAAAAUAUAAUUAUGUAUAUAUGAAAAAAAAAAAAAAAAGUAAAGUCAUGACUCUUAAUUUUAGUCUAUUAUACUUUUGUAGUCAUUACUUUUAAAUUAUAUAUUUUUUUUUAAAUAUCAAACUGAUUAAUAAUUACAAUACAAAGUCUUGCUUGUAUUGAAAUUCAUUUAGGUAAAAACCAAAAAACAAAAAAAAAAAAAAAAAAAAAAAAGGAGGAAAAAUAUGGUUUUAGGCAAAAGAAAAACAAUAAUCAUUCUAGAAGAUUUUUUUUCCCAUAAAUUUCUACUAUUUAUUGGAUUACUAUUUGAGUUUUUAAUUAUUUUUCAAGAUUAUUAGACUCCUUACAUUAAGUUUUACUUAAUUUAGAGUUUACUUACUUAGUAAAAAAAUUUACAAAAUUAUGAUUAUAUAAAAAAAAAUUAGCAAAAUCAUUUAAAAUGAAUUUAAGUUUUUUACUUUCCAAUAUUAAUUUGAUCAAUUUUGAGUUUCAUGACUUUCUAAUACUAAUUAGAUUAAUUUUUUACUUUCAAAUUAUUUUAAAACAUUAAUAACAUUUUUUUUUUUUUUGCAUUAAGAGUUGUUUGAUUUAAAAAUUAUUUGUUUAAUAAAAAAAUUAAAGAAGUUAAAAGAAAUUUAUAAAAAUACAUAUAAUUUAGAGAAAUAUCAUAUUUUAAUUUUCUUUUUAUUGGUAUUGGGUGAUGGGAAGAUAAUGAAGAAAAAAACCUAUCCUGAUUUACCUUAUUUUAUUUCCUUAUAUCUUCCAUUUAUUUUUAAAAACAAAAUAAAACAACUCUUAUUUGUUUUCUAAAUACUGUUCUCCAUUUCAUUUUGUUUUUUAAAAUUAUUACCAAAGAACAACUAUAAACUUUUAAAAACAAAUUUUUAUUUUUAAAAAUCAAACAUUGUUUUGAAAUGACCUGAUCAAAUAAUAUUUUAUCAUUUAGCAAAAGAUAAAAUAAAUAAAUAAAAAACAUUUUAAAAACUCUCAAAAGAUUUUUUUUUUUAAUGAAUAUAUAUAUAUUUUCCAUUGUUACUAACAUUUAAAUAGAAACAAAUAAUCAUUCCAACUUUAUAUUCCUAAGUGUCCAAACACAAAAUUGGAAUCAUCAAAUUCAUUCUAUUCAAGGAAAAAUAAAAAUGAAAACAAAAUAUUCGUUCUUAUUCCCCUUUCUCAUAAAACAAAAAUAGCCGAACUCUUUCAUACAGUAAUUCCAAUUCCCUGCUUAGGAGCAAAUGGAAUUCGCACGAGAAACACUGAGCCAAAUACCACAAGCUCAAACAAGUGUUCAAAAAAGAGAAAAAUACUAAAUUUUUCAUUGAGAUUACCCAACCCUCCACCGCAUUGCUGGAUAUAGACAAGGCUGUAUAACUGGUAAAUUCAUAAAACUCAACCAAAUAUCCUCUGCAAUUAUACAAUCCUACAGUCUGAAUGUUUCUGUGAUUUCAACUUUUUUAAAUGAUUGGAGUCUUUUCAUAGAGGGUGAACUUAAACUAUAAUCUUGAAAAAUAAUUAAAGUCCAAAAGUACAUUUCAGCAUCUCAGAAAUGCAGGGGAAAUCAAUUGAAGCCAUGAGCACUGCUCCAACAAGCAAAAACUGUUAAGAGACAUACACAGCAAUAGAAACCAUCUGCAGUCCAGAUACUGAUUUGUUGAUUAGAAUCUCUUCAUAGAGGGUGACCUUAAACUAUAACAGGUCCUUUCCCCUCCUGUUGAGCCAUGUAUUCUUUCUUCAUUUCUUCAAAAAUGGUGUCAUUGGUGCUGCAAACAAAAUCAUGUGCAAGAUUUUCAAUUAACAAGUCAUCAAAGUUAGUAACAGUCUUGCUCGCAUUUUACAACAAAAUUUGACCAAGAUGGCAGUAGUUAAUAUUAACAGAACUACACCAUAAAACAAGGGGAAGUUAUCCCUAAAAUUUUCCUCCUUUUUUUUUUUUUGGGAUUUCAUUUCUCUGAACAAGGUUGCGAAGGUGAGGAAAGUGACAGUAUACAAACCAAAACCACUAAAACCAGUUGACCCAUCUCAAAAGUCACAGCCACCAAGCCAACUCAUUCCCUCAGGAAAUGUGGAGGUCACUGCCAUUAGGCUGCACUUGCUCCACCAGUCACUGACAUCAAAAGCCACAACCCAAGACAUGGAUGGGUAGGUUCAGGCUCCUUUAACAAGCUUAAAUUUCUUCUCCACCUGUUCUUGGCCCCCUAAAUGGCAACAAAAUUGUAUGUGGCUCCAGUAUCAACUGUAGCCAGUACUUUCUUUCCGUUGAUAAUUGUUUUCAACAAUACAAAGCUAUUGGAGCAAUGGCCACCUCCAAUAAGCUGUAGUAAGGACAUAUUCUUGCUGUUAAAUAGAAAAAACCUACUAUACACUCUAACAGUGUCCAUACACUUAACUCAGGAACUCAUCUCAAACAUGCCAUGGCAGAAAAUAAUUUGUUUGCUCAAAUUAUGAGUGUCUGAAAUACCUCCCACAGUGCCAAACAACUUACAAAUUUCCUUGUUCCAUCAACCAUCAAGAUGUUCUUUAAAAAAACUUUAAUCAGCCUAGACAACAAAAUGGUUGGAGGCCUCCUGCAUCUCCAAUACAAUAGGAGCCUGAACAAUUAUAGCAAGGUUUAAUCAUCUUAGGCAUCAGCAUCACCAAACUAUUGAUUUAAGUCUAGAAACUUCCUGAGAAAAAAAGGGAUCCUUCUUCUCAAAAAUGAAUUGGUCAAACUGAGAAAGCUAUGUUGUAGAGGGUAACCCUCUACCAAACAUUUCGAGGGCUAAAGUAACACCCUAGAGUCUGCAAGCUAAGAGCAGCCUAUGGAGAGAUCCAAGUAAUUUGAUUAUUCAGGAACCUUUCAGAAUGUAGUUGAUGUACAUACAUGUGCCUGUAUGCAUUAACCACUCUCCAACAAAAGAAACUUUUAAGGAAAACCACACUUUCUAACUGAAGAAUAUAUUUGAUAAACAAUCAAUUAUUUUCAUAACAAAGUCGCCUGUAACUGCUUUAGAAUCAUGGUUUGCUCACACACAAUUGAGCCAAGCAUCCAGAUUUGCUUCAUGACUUUAUAUAAACAAUACCAAAAUCAUUUGAAAAGAUAAAGUGAACUACAAAAAAUAAUGGCACUAAACAAGUGUCUGAUAUGUAAUUGAACUUACUAUUGAUGUAAGCAUUCAUUUAAUUCUUUAGCUUGUUUGCGACAAUGCCAAACAACAGAUAUUGUUUUUCCCGCUGCACAUUGAGCAUAUUUUGAAGCAUAUUCAUUGCAUUCCUUUAGUGCUUUCUGCUUCAUUUUGCUGCGUAAAGCUGGAAAUUUUUUAGAAGGUAUUAGCAUAUUUUCCAUGGCUAAAGAUACAAGCAGGAAAGGCAAAACGCAGCUAUUCAAAUUUAUGAUAUAUGAUUGUUAUGAUAAAGAAGAAAUUUUUUUUUGCAAGUAUGAUGUCUCUUUAUACAAUUUACAUGCAAACUAUCCUAUUUUCUUUUGGAUGGUUUGGAAGGCAAGGAAUAGAAUUGCGUUUGAAGAUCAUGUGUUGUCCAUCCAAAGACUUAAAAGUUCUUUUGUUUGUUUUCUUUGGUCGGAGACGAAAUUGUUCAUAAAAGAUGGUCCUUCGACGUUAGUUAGUUUCAUUGAUUGGUUGGGCUCUCAUUGAAGGUGGGGUUUUUUUUGUACCUCCUUGUUGACAGCUGUUUUUGCUCCAGUUGGGUGGGGAUUGGUGUAUCUUUUUUGUUUACUUUGAGUCGUCGUUUUGGCACCUCUUUUUAAAUAUAUUUUUACCUCUCUUUACUUAUCAAAAAAAUAAAAUACUAUUUUUUUUAUAAACAACAACAACAUGCAUUAAUAAGUGCCAAAAAAGGAGGGGGUGUGCCCCACGUAUACAGGUUGUAUACACAGAAACAACCAACACAUGCCUCAAACAAAGAAAGCCCACACAAACAAACAAAGCAAAGUUAACCACAAAAAAGAGUACCUAGGAAAAUCAACAUAGAGGUGAAAUCCAACUCCAAAGAAUCCCUAAUCCACUCAAAAAGAAUCUGAAAGAAGAGAUCCUUUAAACCUUGGUCGGAGAGUUCUUCAUCUUUGAAUAAUCUUUGAUUACGCUCUUUCCAAACACACCAAAAUAAGCAAAUGGGAGCCAAGCACCAAACUGCUCUAUUCUUCUUUUGAAACCCCUCAACUUUCCAUUGAAGGAGGAGAUUUCUCACCAAAUCUGGAAAUACCCAAGCCACUCCAAAGAGGCCUAAUAAAAAGAUCCAAAGCUCUCUUGUCUUAGCGCAAUGAAUCAAAAUGUGAUCAGUUGAUUCUUCACUCUCUUUACAUCUAUUGACAAUUUGACAUCCCCUCUUCAUUAAGGUGUCUACAGUUAAGAUCUUUCCCCAAACAGCUUCCCAAGCAAAAAAGCAAGUUCUGAGAGGAGCACGGGAUCCCCAAACCUCCUUCCCAGGAAACUAUACUAAAAACCUUCAUCAAAGACUAGUUUGAUACUAGGAAAUACUUAUUUCUUUCUCUUCUGAGUUCAUAAAUGCUUCCCACCCUAUAGAUGAAUUAUUGAUGGUGUGCAACCUCUUAGAUCUAAUCUUUGCAAAAGAAUCAGAAUAGAAGAAAUUAAAGCAAACAAGUGGGAUUUCAUGAAAAGUGUAAUGUAAAUAACUAGAUCAUAUACUUAAAUAGUUCCCUCUUGUUCACUUCUUUAGUUGAUCUGGAACAGAACAUCAACCCUGUGGAAAAAAUAUAACCUGAAAAUACUAUUUACUGGUUAUGAUGAUAAUGAUGAUCAGACUGUGAUAGUUAAUGGAUAAAUGAUUUGCAAACUUGGGACCUGCAAAUAAUUUAAGGGUUCCUCAUAAAUGGAUUUAGCAUUACACUGGAGGUAGCAAGGGAACCAAAAACACAACAUCUUUAACCUGCUGCCCCAUAUUUCUUUGAUUUAAUAACUUACCAAAAUAUAAACAAUAGUUAUGAAUAUUGCCAUCUUACAACAGCUUUUCAAAGAAUAUUCAAAACUUCCAUAUAUUACUUGCUGUGAAAGUAACAUUCCGAAAAAGUGGAUCCACAAGAUAAAAUUCUAAUCUGUUAUUCAUGUUUCUUUACAUUGAUUCUUAGCUUUACAUGUUAUAAAUUGAUUAGUGUUUAGAAUACCUUUUUUUUUUUUUUCUGUAUGAAAAUUUAUGUAUGCCAUAAACAAGAGAGAAAUGCCUCAGUUACAUUGAAAAUGUACAAGAGAACAACGAUGAACAGUCUGCUAGAUACAAAAAUACAGAACUCUAAAUAACAGUACCAGAAGCUUCAAAUUGCCAACUUGCAACUAUUGGAAACAUCAAUCCACCAAAUGCCCAUAAAACAUAGUGUGCACAAAAAGGUAAGAGACAAUGAGAUGGGUAAAGAGUCCACAAAGGAAACCCCAGUAAAUAACACUCUGCCUUUGUGCAACUAUUGGAAACAUCUAUCCACAAAAUGCCCAUAUAACAUAGUGUGGACAAAAAGGUAAGAGACAACAAGAUAGGUAAAGAGUCCACGAUGGAAACCCCAGUAAAUUACACUGCCAAAGGCAGUGUUGCAUUUCAAGCUUCUAAUUUCAUCCAUGGGAAAUAUCAAUCCACUUAAAGAAUUUGCACCUUCACAUAAAACAUAGUGCACAUAGAAAACCAAGAGAGAAUGGAGGGUCAAGCAUGAAAAAAGAGCAGAUGAUCCACUGUUUUUGCAGAUCUUUUGUUUAUGCAACAUCGACUUGGAUAUGAUGAAUACUAGUUAACCAAAUCAUUUGCCUUCAAGAUUCCAUUCCAAACUACUCCCACAUACAAAUGCACAAUAGAACACAAACAAUAACAAAGAGGAACACCUUUGGUAGAGCUAGGGAACUCCACAACCACCUUAAAAGGGAAGAAAAUUGCAUCUCUUGUUCACCAUCCCUCCACCAACAACCUAAAUAUUUCUUCAAACAUAACCAUAUUUCUUGUAUUCUGCAUUCAAUCUCCAUUAGAACUUUUUUCUACUAGAACUCUACAUCAGAAUUUGGGUUGCAUCAAAUGCAACAAGGACAGUGGGAAAAGGGCAGGAGGUUGACGUCAAUCUCUCUGUUUUGUACUCAAUGUUAAUCAAAAUUCUUUUCUAUUUAGAACUCUCCAUCAGAAUUUGGGUUAAAGAAAAUGCACCAAGAACAGAUGGAAAAGCAGAGGAGGUUGCAUAUUCCUCUCCCUCUAUCUCCCUCUCCCUCUCCCUCUGCCUCUUUCUCUCUCUCUUUAUAUAUAUAUAUAUAUAGAUAGAUAGAUAGAUAGAUAGAUAACAUGUGAGUUUCUUAGUGCUUGACACACACAACUCUAUAUGGCAGAAAAAAGUGAUGGAAAAACAUAUAUAUGAUUGGUUAAGAACAAGAUAGUCAUUAAAUAUAAUUAGUUAAUGCAUCUAGCUCCAAAGCAUUUUAAAUACUCCAAGUCUUUAUACAGAAUACUUUUCCCAAUCAGAAAUCAGUACAGUAGGUGCUUAAAUGCAACAAAAUAAGAAGUUAAUAGCUACUAUUUUAUGUUUUCUUAGUAAGUCAUGUUUUCUUUCUUUCUGCUCUUAAAGAAGCUUUCCUUAAAAUUAAAGGAAUAUAUAAUUUUUAAUCAUUUUCCUCUCCCAUGAGGUGAUGCAUGUGUGAACAUGGAAAUAUAUACACACACAAGCAACUAUGCAGCUGUUAAUAUUCUAAAUCAUUCAGCAACACAGUUUUUCCCAAGGAAUGUUAUCAAUAACAAAAGCAAUUUUAGGUUUCAUUUGUACUGUGCAAGGAUAUAAUAAUAAAUAUGACUAAACAAAGAGGUUGAUCAAUCUGCAUUAAAAGUUUCAAACAGCUGCCUUCAAAUUCCUUUUACAAAAGUUAUUUCCACUAAAGUAAUGAGUAUUUCAGAUAUUAUUUUAGAAAAUUCAAGCAAUCAAACACUUGUUUGUUCAAGUGAUAAACCAAAGAGAAUUUGCCUCUAGAAAAUGAUUUGUGUAUCAAUUUGUUUUGCCUUCCAAGAAGACUCAGGAUAGGGAGGGCGGAGAAGCUCAUAACCGAAAGGGACCAUGCAAGAAAAAUAAGAUCUAAAAAAGAAAAGAUCCGUAGAAUCGUGGGCCAAUCCUACUUCACCCCAUCAUCCCUUGCCCACCUUGCAUUCAUACUAAUACACAGACUACCCUAGUUUCAUGGUUUUGACCCUCUUGGAACCCAUGUUAGCUCUUUCAAAACAUCACUCAACUAAAUAGUGAUAAUUUUACAUACUAGAAAAUGAAGGCACAGAUUAAGGGCCCGUUUGGUCAUUCCCUGAAAAUUGAAUGGCACCAUUUCCGUUUACCUAAAUGCCAUAUUUUUAACAUUUUCAUCAAAUUCAAUCAUUUCAUUGAGAGCUGAUAUUUUCCGUGGUCACACCAUUACCCAUCGAAAUACCAUUAAAUCCAAAGCACAGUUUACAAUAAAUCGGUUUCCCACAUAUCAGUAUAUAACCCAGGCAGCACAUUAUUCAUAUGACUUGAGCGUUUGUGACUCAUUCCCCAAGGUCCCUAGUCACUGAAUUUGGUAUUGAUCAUAAGUUUCACUCCUACUAGCACUAAUUGAAACGGUAGACAACAUAUAUGCCCCGUUUGGUUGCUGAGAAAAUAAGGGAAAAAUAAAUCAAAGAUCAUAAAUUCUAAUUUCUUUUUGUUUUGUUUUUCCAUUGUUUCUCAGUGGGAAAAGGAAGAAACAUAGGGUUUUUUUAGAUGUGAAUACCUUCUUCCACUUUCUUCUUCAUUUGAUUUUCUUUGGCUUCUUGAAAGUAACCCAUUUCACAACUCUUCAAAAGGCGCAAGCUUUUCUUCUACUUCCGAGUCUCACAAUGGGGACCUCUCUUUCAGUACUAGGUUACACUGCAAAAUUUUCCAUUUUCCCACCCCUUUCGGGAGUUGGGCUCAUUGUUCAGCAGUGCCUCGGCUUUGGCCCAAUUUGUGGGCCCAAAUGUAUGAUUGUGGUGGAUGAAUUAUAUCUGGACUGCGCUUGGGCUAAGACGGCUCAAUUUUAGGAGAUAUUUGAUGAUCAUAAAAAUUUCAAUCAGUCGGUUUCCGAUGAUUUUAAAAAACAUUUUUAAUUUUAAAAAUUAAUUAUUUAAUAAAAUUUUAAAAAUCACUUAUAGUAUUGAAAAAUUAUAUAUAGUGUUUUUUAAAUAAGCAUUUGAUAGAUAUUUCUUUUAAAGCACUAAAAACAUUUUAAAUAAAAACAUUAUCAAACAUAUUCUUAAUAUUGAUACAAAACCCGAUAUUUAGAAUAUUUAGCAUAAAAUAUUAGUAAAAAUAAUAAAUUACAUAAAUCAUAUUACACACAAGACCAUAUAACUAAUUAUAGUAAAAUGAAUAAACAAGGGCAAAUAAUUAUAGGAUAAAAUCUCAUCAAUAAUAGAAACUCUCAAAUGUCUCUUAGGAAGAUGAAAGAGGUGAUGAAACAAAGGAAACAGAGAGAGAUGAGAGGAAAAGAUGUUGAUAUUAUUUAUCUCGGUGGUCUUCUACAAUAACUGAGCAAACAUUAUAUACAAGCAGAAGAUACACAUCCUAACCAACUGUACACGUGGAGCUAAAAGACUAGAGAGAAAAUAAUAUCCUAACUAAUUACAUCUUUAGGCUUAACAUCCCCCCUCAAGCUCAUUGGUCUAGUGAGAACAGUGAGCUUGGAACAUAGAGUGAUGAAACGUUAGGUGGAAAGAGGCUUGGUCAUGCAAUUAGCAAGCUAAUCAUCAGAAUAUGUGAACUGGAGAGAGAGAGAGAGCGUUGAAGAACACGUUCCUGGACAAAGUGGUAGUCGAUUUCCACAUGUUUGGCUCAGGCAUACAAAAUAGAAUUGGUAGCUAAGUAUGUUGCACUGAUAUUGUCACAGAGAAUGAGGGAAGGUUGAGUGGGAGUAAUGGAAAGUUAAUGAAGAAGAGAUUCAAUCCAAGCAAUUUCAGUAGCCCCAUUUGCUACCCAUCAGUACUCUGAUUCGGUGUUGGACCGGGAUACCACUUUUUGUUUGGAAGAUGACCAAGAAACUAGAUUGGAACCAAGAAAGAGGUAGUAGCCACUGGUGCAGGAGGCCCAAUCGGCAUCUGUAUAGCAAGUGAUGUUGGAGUGCAGGGAAGGCUGUAGGAAGAGACCAAAAUGAGAUGUGCCCUUUAAGUACCGGAGAAUACGUUUAACAGCCUGCCAGUGAACAUCAGAGGGAUGGUGCAUGAAUUGACACUUUGUUUACUGUAAAAGCUAUAUUUGGGCGUGUCAUGGUACAAUACUAAAGGACACCAACAAAACUGCAAUAAUCUGAACGUUUUUCAAAAGUCACACCAUCAUGAAGAGAGAGAUUUGUGUUGGAGGACAUAGGAGUGGGACAUGGCUUGGCAUCCAACAUAGUAGCCCGAGUAAGGAGAUCAGUGAUAUACUUUGCUUGGCUGAGGUGAAUACCAAUAAGGGUGCGAUGAACCUCCAAGCCUAGAAAAUAGUGUAGAGGACCAAGAUCCUUUAAAGAAAACUAAUGAUGCAACUGUUGGAUAAGGUGAGUAACCUGAGUAUAGUGGCUCCCAAUGACGAUUAUAUCAUCCAUAUAUACAAGAACAAGAAGUAACCCAUGAAAAGAAUGACAAAUAAAUAAGGAAAAAUCAUUCUUAGAAGUAACAAAUCCCAAGUGUAGUAGAGAAUUACUGAGCUUAGUAUACCAAGCCUAGGGUGAUUGUUUAAGGUCGUAGAGAGACUUAUCCAACUUGCAGACAUGAGUAGGAUAGAGAGGAUCAACAAAUCUAGGUAGUUGUUCCAUGAAAACAUCUUCAGCCAAGUCACCAUGUAAAAAGGCAUUAUGAACAUCCAAUUGUCUAAUACACCAAUUCUGUGAAAGAGCAAGAUUGAGCACAAUACAAAUAGUAGGAGGCUUGACAAUAGGGCUAAAUGUUUCGAAGUAGUCAAUACCUUCGGUUUGAUGAUAACCCUUAGCUACUAAGCGGGCCUUGUAUCUCUCAAUUUGGCCAUCAGGCUGGAACUUUAGCUUAUAUACCCACUUACAACCAAUUACCUUACCUCAGGAAGGAAAAUGAACAAGAUGUCAGGUCUUGUUGUGCAAAAUGGUAGCAAAUUCCAAUUCCAUGGCCUGCUUCCAUGUAGGAUCUUUAAUAGCUUGGAGAAAGGAAGUAGACUCGGUGAGAAAACCUAUGUGACGAGAAUCAACAAGCAUUCAAUGAUCCAUUGCAUGUUUUAGUUGGGCCUAUUACUAAAGCAAGAUCCAAGAAGAUAAAAGAAGCACUUAAUGGGCUAAUUCAAGAGAUUUGGACUGAUUUUAACGCAAGACAUUCCAAGCUUGGCCCAAAGGAAGAUAAAGGUGUAAUAAAUUUAAUUCAAGUUAUUGAUGGCUAAUCUGGCUUGAUUGGGCGUGAUUUAUGGCGUGGAUUAAUGACUGAUUGGCUUUCCAACUCCAUAUCAGUUAAUAAACAUUUUUCCUAUUCUAGAGCUUCCAAUUUCAGGCCAAAUCUACCUUAAUUUUAGGCUUUUAUUAUUUAGAACGUUUUUUUAGCUAUUUUCCUAUUUUGGAUCUACUAAUUUCAGACCAAAUAAACUUUUAUUUAGAGUUUUACUAUUUAGUAAGUUUUUUUUCAUGACAUAUAAAUAACAUGCAUUCAUUGUAAUAGGGGAUAAUUUUAUUAAAUAAAAAAAUCAGAAAAUGUGAGGCUUUGCUUUUUUUUUUUGUUCUUCAAGAACUGUGAACUUAUUAGGGAUUCUUCAUUGUGGCGUUCAAACUUUAUACCUUCGGUUCAUGAUUCCAUUGUAAUCAUUGGGUUAAAGUCUAUUACUUAUACUUUUGGUUUACGUUUCACUUAUAAGCCUUAGGUUAAGGUUCUAUAAAAAAUCUGUACUUUAAUUUUCUUGGGCAAUUAUUUCAAUACUGUUUGUUGGGUCUCAAAGCGUGUCGAUGGAAGUUCGCAUCAUUUGGUAUCAGAGCACAGGUUCAAAAAUCAGUUUUCUAUCCCUUUAUCUUUUGUUUCCUGUUAUCAUCCUAUCUUGUUCCUUUUGUGUUCUUUAUUCCUCAUUCUUUUUUUUUUUUUUUACGUGCACUAGGUUAAAAUCGUGCACCAAACUCCAAAAAAAAAAAUAAAAUAAAAUAAAAGACUUCAGAAAAGAAAUAGAAAACAAAAAAAAAAAAAAAAAAUUGUGUGUAGUUUCAAUUAUCUCAAAUCAAAAUAUUAUUUUCUUUUGUCCUCUUCCUUUGAUUUAGUGUUUCUGUCAUAUUUUCUUGCCAUUGGUAUUAGUUUAAAUACUACAAGUUAAAUUUCUUGAUCAAGUUUAUUAGUUUAAGCAGAACUGAAAAAGGGAAGCUACGAGUGGAAAAAGGCAAGAGAGUGUGAGACUAAUAUCGGGAAAAAACCAAUUUAAGAGUGAAACACGAGUGUGAGUGCAAACACGUAAGGGAGUGUUGUGAGGAAUUAUUUUUAACAUUUUUUUAUAGUUU
rnacentral:lncRNA from 1 species